ACACCAUUUUUAUGUACUGUAAGCAACAAAUAUAUCAAGAUAACCAUUAAAGUUCAAAAUCAUGAAUAAAAGAAAAGUAAAAAGAAUAAGAAACAGCUAUAUGCUUGAAGAAUAGAAACAGAUCGAGAGGGAUCUGAUUCAUCCACGUGUCAAAGACCCAACACCUCUGGAAAUCUCAUGCACGCCAGGGCUGAACCCCAAGC
rnacentral:misc_RNA from 1 species